rnacentral:rRNA from 1 species
CCUACGGGUGGCAGCAGUGAGGAAUAUUGGUCAAUGGCCGGAAGGCUGAACCAGCCAAGCCGCGUGAAGGACGAAGGUGCCAAGCAUUGUAAACUUCUUUUGUCAAGGGACAAAAUCAGGCUCGAGAGCCUGACCGAGGGUACUUGAAGAAAAAGCUCCGGCUAACUACGUGCCAGCAGCCGCGGUAAUACGUAGGGAGCAAGCGUUGUCCGGAAUUACUGGGCGUAAAGGGCGCGUAGGUGGGCGCUUAAGUCAGGUGUGAAAACUCCGGGCUCAACCUGGAGACUGCACUUGAAACUGGGUGUCUUGAGGGCAGGAGAGGAAAGUGGAAUUCCUAGUGUAGCGGUGAAAUGCGUAGAUAUUAGGAGGAACACCAGUGGCGAAGGCGACUUUCUGGACUGUACCUGACGCUGAGGCGCGAAAGCGUGGGUAGCGAACGGGAUUAGAUACCCUUGUAGUC